rnacentral:rRNA from 1 species
GGAACUGAAACACGGUCCAGACUCCUACGGGAGGCAGCAGUGGGGAAUUUUGCGCAAUGGGGGAAACCCUGACGCAGCAACGCCGCGUGGAGGAUGAAGUCCUUCGGGACGUAAACUCCUUUCGAUCGGGACGAUAAUGACGGUACCGGAAGAAGAAGCCCCGGCUAACUUCGUGCCAGCAGCCGCGGUAAUACGAGGGGGGCGAGCGUUGUUCGGAAUUAUUGGGCGUAAAGGGUGCGUAGGCGGUUUUGUAAGUCUUAUGUGAAAUCUAUGGGCUCAACUCAUAGACUGCAUGAGAAACUGCAGGGCUUGAGUGUGGGAGAGGUGAGUGGAAUUUCCGGUGUAGCGGUGAAAUGCGUAGAUAUCGGAAGGAACACCUGUGGCGAAAGCGGCUCACUGGACCACAACUGACGCUGAUGCACGAAAGCUAGGGGAGCAAACAGGAUUAGAUACCCUGGUAGUCCUAGCCCUAAACGAUGACUGCUUGGUGUGACGGGUACCCAAUCCCGCCGUGCCGUAGCUAACGCGUUAAGCAGUCCGCCUGGGGAGUACGGUCGCAAGGCUGAAACUCAAAGGAAUGACGG